GGGAAGUUAUUUCUAAUAUAAUCUCUUUCUCAAAGGUUUUUAAAGGCCCUGCAGACUCUGUAGCUUGAAGUCUUGGCUCGGCCUCACUGACUUUGUUUGGGAUUAUGUGUUUGAAUGGACUUUUGCACAUAAUUGCACUGUAUUUCAUGAAAGGGAUACAUGCUGCACUGGUAUUUUUGGUGCAUUUAACAUCUUGGUGCAAGACCUUGUAAAUCUUCCAAAUGUGGUCAUUGAAUUUCCUGCUGUUUUGUAAGGCAGUUUCAUAACUGAGGUCCUUUGGUCUAGAUGAAAUGAGGAAUUCUUAGAAACCAAACCUUAUUUGUAGAACUGACUUAACUAUUCUGUGGAUCUUGGAGCUUUUUUAUUGUCUAGAAAAUAAAACUCUCCAUGAGGGUUGCUUUGAUUUUAUUUUUUACCACUCAAAAGUUGCCUGACCAAACCUGGGAGUGUCUGGAAUAAGGCUCCAGUUUGAUUUCUAGGGAUGAGGAAUGAAUAUAUCCACUUCUGGUGACUGUUUGCAAGCAAGAUGCUGAUCCUUGGUAGGAAAGGAUGAAAAGGAAGCUGUCAACUUACAAACCAGCUGACUUGGGGGUGGGAGGGUGUUAAAAUAUCUUUUAUAUUAAGAGCACUGGUUCCCUCACCAGUUUUUGUAGUUUUAUAAUCACCUGAACUUUUAAAACUCUUUUUCAAGCUUUUCAUUUUUCAUGUUGGGUGAGCAAAAGCCACACAACUGGGCAGCAGCUGGAAGAAAACCCUGUCAAACACCUGCAAUAAAACGGGUGCAGGAGGGGGAGCAGCCUCCCAAAUAUUCUGUCCAAAUAUUCAAAGAUAAUUUGGAAUUAUAGUGGAUAUUUCACAAACUCUGAUAUUUAAAACCUGGAUUUACCUGUUGGUUUGGAAUAUCCUGAAUCAAAGAAAAAUGGAAUAACUCCUUCUUCCUUUCCACUGUUUUCAUUCAAGCAGUGAAAUCUGUUUACUUUUCUUGUCUUGGGAUCUGUAGGUUUAUACUUUUUGGUUCAGAAGUGUCUGGGAAUUCUUCAUUUGGUAGUAUUAAAGGGGUUUGGAUCCAGCUGAAGUUGCCUGUGAAACACCCCUGAACACAGCAACUUCUUUGGGGUUCAUUAGUUGUUACAGGCAGGUGUUUGGAUACUGAUGAGUUAAAAAGAAAGAAUUAAACCAAACAGCCACCCCCAGAAAACCUCUCUCAAAAUAACGUGCCAGACACAGGAACUGUAAAUGCUGUCCCCAAACACCCCAGGGCAAUAUACUGGAGGCCAUCUGUAUGUUCUCAUCUGUCCCAUCUGAAUCUGGUGUGUGCAACUCAGUUUCCUUUCAGGCUUUCUCUGAAUGUCCAUCUUUGAUGUUUUAUUCCUGUUUUAACUCUCCUUUUGCUGUUUACUGAACUUUAAAAUGUAGCAGAUGAUGAUUAUGAGCAAAAAGUGCUCCAAUACAAGCAAAAUAAGGGUACUUCUAAAACCAAAACCAAGCAAUGCAGUACCCAGUGUUAAGCAGAUUGUUUUGGUGAGAAAGCAGAGUGCCAGGAGUUGAUAGCCAGCACUCUGCUUCCACAGGUAUUUGGGAUCAAUAGUUCUGUAUGGGAAGAAGAUGCUUUGAGCUGAGGGUGUCUGUGGUGUCAGCUUUGCAGCACUCACAGACAGCUUGGGAUGUGCUCCGUGGGGCUGAGUGACCCCAGCAGCCUUUUCAGGUUUAAUAACUGGAUGUUUUCCAUGGAUCAGUAACAGACGUGCUGAUGUUUUCUCCCAAUGUACCUGCCGCGCUGUGGGAUGUCUGUGAGGGUGGAAGAGAGAAAAGCAAAUUGAACCAAAGCUGAGAACUCCUGUGCAUCACCACCACACGUUUACCCUUUGUAAGGGGUGGGGAUCAGGUCUUUAAGUGCUUUUUGUAAUGGUGUUUUUUCUACAGUGGGGCAUUACUGAGUUCAUCUUUACUGUAUGUUAAGUUGUGUGUACACUAUAUAUGUUUAUAUUGUUGUCUGUAGUCUGGUUCUUUUCUAGUUAAAGAACAGAAAACAUUAAAUAAAUACUAAUCUCAC
ensembl:lncRNA